UGGCUAACAAUGAUAAAUUUUAUAUCUUUGUGGAUAUCGGUGAGAUUUUAUCAAUGAUCUGAAUGUUACACAGACUAAAGCCU